UAAAGUUUAAAAAAGUUUAAAAAGUUAGAUUUUCAAAGAAGUUAAAAAAGAUUAAAAAGUUUAAAAAGUUAGGGGUUAGUGAUUAGGGAUUAGUUGGUAUGGGUUAGUUGUUAGGGGUUAGUGGUUAGGGGUUAGUGGUUAGGGGUUAGUGGUUAGGGGUUAGUGGUUAGGGGUUAGUGGUUAGGGGUUAGUGGUUAGGGGUUAGUGGUUAGGGGUUAGUGGUUAGGGGUUAGUGGUUAGGGGUUAGUGGUUAGGGGUUAGUGGUUAGGGUUGGAGUUAGGGUUAGUGUUAGGUGCCGCGAAUUUAUUAUUAUG
rnacentral:lncRNA from 1 species